rnacentral:rRNA from 1 species
UACAGAGGUCCCAAGCGUUGUUCGGAUUCAUUGGGCGUAAAGGGUGCGUAGGCGGCGCGGUAAGUCGGGUGUGAAAUCUCGGGGCUUAACUCCGAAACUGCAUUCGAUACUGCCGUGCUUGAGGACUGGAGAGGAGACUGGAAUUUACGGUGUAGCGGUGAAAUGCUUAGAUAUGACAUAGAACACCAAUUGCGAAGGCAGCUCGCUACGCGGUUAUUGACACUGAGGCACGAAAGCGUGGGGAUCAAACAGG